CAUCUACAACACUUCCAACAACACAUAAACAAGCUACAUUGUUCAUCAAAGCAUCAAAACCCAUAAACUCAACAUAUACCCUAACAUGCAUUUCUACCCAUAGAUCUUGCAUAAAACUUAGUUAAAACACAUAAGGAGCUUAAGAUCGGCUCUUACCUCUUGAAGAUCGAGAGAGAAGACCUAAACUUGGAGAUCCAUAAAAAUGAGCUCUUGAGUUCCCAAAGCUCCAAAACUUGUUUCAAAAGCUCAAAACUUGCAAUGUGAGUUUAAAACUCAAGAAAAAUGGAAGAGAUUUGGAGGAAGAACACAAGAUUUGCAAAGGGAAGGUCGGA
rnacentral:lncRNA from 1 species